rnacentral:rRNA from 1 species
GUAGGGAAUCUUGCGCAAUGGGCGAAAGCCUGACGCAGCCAUGCCGCGUGAAUGAUGAAGGUCUUAGGAUUGUAAAAUUCUUUCACCGGGGACGAUAAUGACGGUACCCGGAGAAGAAGCCCCGGCUAACUUCGUGCCAGCAGCCGCGGUAAUACGAAGGGGGCUAGCGUUGCUCGGAAUUACUGGGCGUAAAGGGAGCGUAGGCGGAUAGUUUAGUCAGAGGUGAAAGCCCAGGGCUCAACCUUGGAAUUGCCUUUGAUACUGGCUAUCUUGAGUAUGGAAGAGGUAUGUAGAACUCCGAGUGUAGAGGUGAAAUUCGUAGAUAUUCGGAAGAACACCAGUGGCGAAGGCGACAUACUGGUCCAUUACUGACGCUGAGGCUCGAAAGCGUGGGGAGCAAACAGGAUUAGAAACCCCUGUAGUCC